UCCUACGGGAGGCAGCAGUGAGGAAUAUUGGUCAAUGGGCGAGAGCCUGAACCAGCCAAGUCGCGUGAAGGAUGACUGUCUUAUGGAUUGUAAACUUCUUUUAUACGGGAAUAACAAGAGUCACGUGUGGCUCCCUGCAUGUACCGUAUGAAUAAGCAUCGGCUAACUCCGUGCCAGCAGCCGCGGUAAUACGGAGGAUGCGAGCGUUAUCCGGAUUUAUUGGGUUUAAAGGGUGCGUAGGCGGCCUGUUAAGUCAGCGGUGAAAUCUAGGAGCUUAACUCCUAAAUUGCCAUUGAUACUGGCGGGCUUGAGUGUAGAUGAGGUAGGCGGAAUGCGUGGUGUAGCGGUGGAAUGCAUAGAUAUCACGCAGAACUCCGAUUGCGAAGGCAGCUUACUAAGGUACAACUGACGCUGAAGCACGAAAGCGUGGGUAUCAAACAGGAUUAGAUACCCUGGUAGUCCACGCAGUAAACGAUGAUAACUGGGCGUAUGCGAUAUACAGUAUGCUCCUAAGCGAAAGCGUUAAGUUAUCCACCUGGGGAGUACGCCGGCAACGGUGAAACUCAAAGGAAUUGACGGGGGCCCGCACAAGCGGAGGAACAUGUGGUUUAAUUCGAUGAUACGCGAGGAACCUUACCCGGGAUUGAAAUGUAGAUGACCGCUCCUGAAAGGGAGUUUUCCUUCGGGACAUCUAUGUAGGUGCUGCAUGGUUGUCGUCAGCUCGUGCCGUGAGGUGUCGGCUUAAGUGCCAUAACGAGCGCAACCCCUGUCUACGGUUGCCAUCAGGUAAUGCUGGGAACUCCGUAGAGACUGCCGUCGUAAGGCGUGAGGAAGGUGGGGAUGACGUCAAAUCAGCACGGCCCUUACAUCCGGGGCGACACACGUGUUACAAUGGUAAGGACAAAGGGCAGCUACCUGGCGACAGGAUGCGAAUCUCUAAACCUUAUCACAGUUCGGAUCGGAGUCUGCAACUCGACUCCGUGAAGCUGGAUUCGCUAGUAAUCGCGCAUCAGCCAUGGCGCGGUGAAUACGUUCCCGGGCCUUGUA
rnacentral:rRNA from 1 species